CUCUGACCCAGAAGCCCUCAGUGUUGACUCCUCCUCUGACAGAGGGAGAACCAGCUACUCUGACCUGCACAGCCCCGGGGAUGUGCUCUGGAACUCCUCCUAACAUCACAUGGACAAGGAGAGGAACAGGAGACAAACAUCACUGAGCUCAGAGACAACAUCACCAUACAGGAGAGAGAGGACCUGACCAAUGUGACGACAACCCACUUCUCAAUGUUGACCUUCACCCCCACAGCUAAGCAUCACGGCACCAACGUCACAUGUCUGGUGUCAUUCAAUGGCCGCAUCACCACUAAGAAGACACUGACAAUGAAUGGCACGUAGGUAGUGUACAUUAUCUGACCUCCCGUUGUGCUGCAACACUUCCAUUUCAUGAACACGAUUUGUAUGUACUGUUCUUUGUUUUCUAGAUGUGAAGGAACCCAAGAUCUCUGGCUGUAACACAGUGAGAGAGGGGUGAUACCCUGAAUCUGACCUGCAGUGAUGACAGCUACCCACCAUCAUCAUCUAACAUCACCUGGAGUAAGAAGGGGACAACAGCUUUGGAACGGAAUAACUCUGGACGGGCCCACUCUCAUCAUCUCUAACAUGACAAGAGAACAUGCUGGGAGUAUGUGUGUACAGCUCACACCACAGUAGAUCUCUGAUGGCUUCCACUGUUGUCACUGUGAUGUUGAACCGCCACCAUCAGCCUGCCUGUCAGAAACCACACCAAUACCACUAUGGAGUGUGUCAGCAGAAAUGAAGCGGGCAGAGUGAGAGAGGUGCAAGUCACCCAAAUAGAAAAACAAGAAGAGGAUGUGUCUAAAGACAUCAUGGCUUUGCUGUCGGACCUACAACUGAUUACUGCAUUUGUGGUUGGUGCAGCCCUCUCAGCCAGCAUCUUUUGUAUCUUCCUGUGUUUGAAAGGGAAACGUAAAAGACGCAAAGAGAGGAUCCCAAAGGACUCAGACUCCAAAAGCCAUUUCAUGAACCUGGAGAUGGUGGCAUGUGAAGACCAACAGAUGGAUGCAGGACAGGCUGUGGGGGGCAAACAGACCCCUCUGCAGGUGGAGCUGAAGGAGGGAGAAGAAAACGGAGGGCCCCAGACCAGUGGAGCCAUAGGGAAAUCUACCACAGGGGGAGAACCAAAUGAAGUGGACUACGCCAGUAUCAACUACUCCCUGCUGAAGAAGAAGACUCCUGAGGAGGCAGAGAAGAAGACCACCACCACAGAGACAGACUACGCCGAAAUCAAACGACAGAAGAAGAAUGAGGAGGAAGAAGAUGGUGGAGAGGGGAGUGGUGUGAUGGAAGAGGUGGAAUGGGAGGAAGGGGAUGAGAUGGUAGGGAAGGAAGAGGAGAAAGAGAACGGUAAGCCAUUACGAGAGACAGAUGAGGAUACAGCACUUUACUCCAACAUCAAGACUAUUAUGGGUGGAGAGUGACACAGCAACGUGGGAAAUAGCGCACAGCACUAUGGCUUCUAAUAUACAGCACUGCGGUGUUUUCUCAUACUCCAGAUUGAAUGUUUUAUGAUGAUAGAGACUUUGUUUAACUGAAACUACUGUAGGAAAUAGUUUUGGUAAUUCUUUCUUUUUCAGCCUUGUCUAAUGUAAUGUUAGUUUUGUAACGAUUCUGUUUUUGUGUCACCAUGGAAGGACAUGGUGUCUCCUCUGAUCCUUCAUGUUUUUGUAUUUUGAUUUAACCAUAACCCUGUAUAUUGAGGCACUACCUUACUUUUGAUGUUUGUGUGUAUUUUAGUUGUUUGCUAUCUGCUAAGAAUUUCUAAAUGAUGUUUUAACUGUCUUGUAGCAUGAUGUACUACAGUACCCAUAAUGCUCUGUAUCAAUAUACGGUUUCAUCUUGGUAAAGACGUUCCUAAAGCUAACACUAUGGUGUCCCAUCUACUUAUUAAUACAUUAGAGGAGGCUGGUGGUAGGAGCUAUAGGAGGACAGGUUCAUUGUAAUGGCAGGAAUGGGACGGCAGGGUAACCUAGUGGUUAGAGAGCGUUGGACUGGUAACCGAAAGGUUGCACAGAUCAAAUCCCCGAGCUGACAAUCUGUCGUUCUGCCCCUGAACAAGGCAGUUAACCCACUGUUCCUAGGCUGUCAUUGAAAAUAAGAAUUUGUUCUUAACUGACUUGCCUAGUUAAAUAAAUACUUGAAACUGUAUCAAACAUAUGAAAACCACAUGUAUGACUCUGUUCCAUUAAUUCCAUUCCAGCCAUUAAAACAAGCCUGUCCUCCUACAGCUCAUCACACCAGGCUCCUCUGUAAUACAUGGUGUCAGAAGUUGGAUGUCUAUUUAUUAUCUCCACAAAUUGUAUUCGACAGUGAUUACACAGAUGGUGUGACUGCAGAGAACAGUAGAGGUUUUCUUUAGAACUCCAGUUCCUUCACCGUGUAUUCUAUGUUGACAUAAUCAAAAUGUAUAUGUUCACGAUCAUUGUAAAUAAGAAUUUGUUCUUAAUUGACUUGCCUAGUUCAAUAAAUGUUACAUUUAAAUGAAAUAAAAAUUUUAACAAUAUUACUAUGCUAC
rnacentral:lncRNA from 1 species